CUGUGAUCUUAAAGCAUUCCCUGCAUACUUGUGUCAGAGCGCUUGUUACAUCAUAUUGAAAGGCUCUGUUUAUGGGAUUAUCACUCAUUAUUAGACUUGAAGGGUUGGCCUGUGUUAUAUUAAUUUUUGUAUCCCCAGCACCCAGCAUCAUACCACGUAUAUGGUAGGUACUCAAAAAUGUCAUUGGCCUGAACUAUUUUAACCAUCAUAAGUCAACAGAUUCUUCUUUCCCUCCCAAGCAGCCAGUGUGUUCCAAGCUGUAACCCUGAGCCAGGUACUAAAUUAGGCAUUGAGAAAACAGGGGUAAGCUCCCAGUAUGGAGCUUAUAGGCUACAUGCAGAGAGAACAGGAUUUUUGCCACCCACUGGAACUGCCACAUGUGAGCCAUGUGCAUUUACAGUGGUGCUGACCUUGCAAAAAUUCCCCCUUCUAUGACAGACAUUAAUUAUGUGCACGUAUUCAGCCAUUUUCAUCACUCAAAGCAAAAAUGAAAAAAAAAAAUGCUCUUUCUAGUCUUCCUCAAAACCAUCCAUUAAAUUUCUCUUUAAAAUCCUUUCUCUUUGAAUACAGCUGUUAAUGUUUUCCCUCUAAAAAUAGAAAAUUUAGACUGUAGUUACUGAUAAAAGGAGUGUCAGCAUUGAGAACGAUGUUCUGCACAUAGAAGUGGGGUGUUUUUUUUUUUGCUUUUAUUUUUUAAAACUGAAAGGAAAACCUCAUGAUUAAAAUAAAAAUAAGGCAGAGCCAUCAUGCCUGGUUCACUAGUAUGUUUUUUUUCUUUUCUAGCUUAUAAAUCUGUUUAAUCACAUGGAUUUGGGUUUAUGUGUGACCCUAUUUUUCUGUGCUGCAAAUGCGCCAUCGGCUUCUAAAAGUAUAGGCUUUUCCCAGUAGUUGACUUGGGCAGGAUUUGCUCACAGAACCAGGCAUAUGGAGAGUCUUAAGUCCAGAGCACUAUGCUGUCUCUGUUCUAAAGAUCAUUGCACUUAAGAAGUUCAUGACUUUGGGGAGUAUAUUGAAAGCCAUCCAUGGAUGUAUAUUUCAAAAGAUGUAUUUUGACACCCUCAUCUGAAGACUGAUCUAGUAGGUAUGAGCUAAGGCUCCAGCAUUGAUAGUUUUAAGUAACCCCACUAAUGUAGGAGAAGUCUUCAUUUAUGUGGUCAUUGAAGUACACAAAGUUAGUAAGUUGCGUAUGUACACAAAUAUCUGCACUGCUUAGAGGAAAUACGGCUUUCUGACUUCUUCGGUUGUGUCUCAGAGAUAUUUGAAAUAAUGCCAUUUCCGCUGCAUUCACUGUUCUAACUGCCCAAAACACGCUUUCCCUAAAUAUCAGCAUAAUCCUGUCUGUUUAUUGUCUGUUUCCAACUCUGAAAUGUAAGCUUCAUCCGA
rnacentral:lncRNA from 1 species